rnacentral:rRNA from 1 species
GACGAACGCUGGCGGCGUGCCUAAUACAUGCAAGUCGAGCGCAGGAAGCCGUCUGAACCCUUCGGGGGGACGACGGUGGAAUGAGCGGCGGACGGGUGAGUAACACGUAAAGAACCUGCCCAUAGGUCUGGGAUAACCACGAGAAAUCGGGGCUAAUACCGGAUGUGUCAUCGGACCGCAUGGUCCGAUGAUGAAAGGCGCUCCGGCGUCGCCCAUGGAUGGCUUUGCGGUGCAUUAGCUAGUUGGUGGGGUAACGGCCCACCAAGGCGACGAUGCAUAGCCGACCUGAGAGGGUGAUCGGCCACACUGGGACUGAGACACGGCCCAGACUCCUACGGGAGGCAGCAGUAGGGAAUCUUCCACAAUGGACGAAAGUCUGAUGGAGCAACGCCGCGUGAACGAUGAAGGCUUUCGGGUCGUAAAGUUCUGUUGUAAGGGAAGAACAAGUGCCGCAGGCAAUGGCGGCACCUUGACGGUACCUUGCGAGAAAGCCACGGCUAACUACGUGCCAGCAGCCGCCGUAAAAC